CUGCUGUAUAAACUCUGUAGCAUUCACAGUUAUUGAAAAAGUGAGAUGGAGUGUUAAAAAUGUGAAUGUAAUUGCUGCAUCAAUGUUAUGGUUUCUAUCACAAGCUGGCUAAGUGCAAUUAAAGCAGAGCAGAAGUUGAUCCCUCCUUGUCACAAACCUAAGAUCUUCAUAUGGCUACAUUGUUUGGGAAUCACCAACUAAUUUGCAAACAUGGUUUCAUCUGUUUUCUGCUACAGGAUUUCAUAGAACUUUCUUACUCGUAAGCCAUUUGACAGGGACUCCAUUGGACCACCAAAUAAAGUAAAUCAAAGCUCUCUGUGUCAUGUCUGUGAUCAGUGGUGGAUCAUGUCAUAUGAUUCUGAACCCUGAUACAGUCCAAGGCAAAUGAAGAUCUUGAUCAGCUCCUUGGGAUUGAAUGCAUCAGUUAAAAGAAUGUACAUAAAGUUACAGGUCUGUGCAAAAGAGAAGAAUUGAAUGCAUCUUGUAAGAUUUCACUUACAACAGCUUGAAUCAGAUGCAUAAAGGAGCGCUUUUUCCUGGUAAAAAUUGGCAUAAUAGUCACUGAUAUUAC
rnacentral:lncRNA from 1 species